GAUGAACGCUGGCGGCGUGCCUAAUACAUGCAAGUCGAGCGAACGGACGAGAAGCUUGCUUCUCUGAUGUUAGCGGCGGACGGGUGAGUAACACGUGGAUAACCUACCUAUAAGACUGGGAUAACUUCGGGAAACCGGAGCUAAUACCGGAUGAUAUUUUGAACCGCAUGGUUCAAGAGUGAAAGACGGUCUUGCUGUCACUUAUAGAUGGAUCCGCGCUGCAUUAGCUAGUUGGUAAGGUAACGGCUUACCAAGGCAACGAUGCAUAGCCGACCUGAGAGGGUGAUCGGCCACACUGGAACUGAGACACGGUCCAGACUCCUACGGGAGGCAGCAGUAGGGAAUCUUCCGCAAUGGGCGAAAGCCUGACGGAGCAACGCCGCGUGAGUGAUGAAGGUCUUCGGAUCGUAAAACUCUGUUAUUAGGGAAGAGCAUAUGUGUAAGUAACUGUGCACAUCUUGACGGUACCUAAUCAGAAAGCCACGGAUAACUACGUG
rnacentral:rRNA from 1 species